AGGAUAGCUAUACAAGGAGAGGGCAAGGGAUAGCCUCACAGAGAGAUCCCAAUUCCCUGGUCUCCUCUGCCAGCCACUUCUUUCCCACAGAGAAACUUCAGGCCCACUGAGAUCCAUCUCCUGGCUUCUCCUCUGCCCACAAGCAUGCAGUCCCCUUCAUCCCCCUGCCUCACACAGAUUCAUCAAGCCUCCCCAGAGAGUUUUUAAGGAGGCUUGGCAGGACAGUUCCAUCCAGGAAGCCUGAUCUGGAGGACAGUGGGCAACCCCUAGUCACUGCACACCCUCCGUCUCCUGCACUCCUUCAGUUCACCAUUAGCACCAUGGCAGCACAGAAGAGCUUCUUGCAAAUGGAAUGGAAGGUGCUUGAGGCUGCAGCCACCUGAGGGGCUCAAUGCUGAAGCACAGAGAGCUCAGCUUGGCUCCUUUGGGAACAUGGAUCCUUCUAUUAAGCAAUAACUUCAGUCUUGGCCAUCUGUGCCCAGACCUGCUUUGGGCUUUAGUGUCCUGACACCUUUCCUUGUUUCUGUCCCCUGAGGAUUUCUCUCAUUUUCUAGAAAAGCCAGUCCUUUGCUGCUCUGUGGCUUACUGCUUCUGUCUGAGAAGAAUCUCUAAACCUUUUCCUUCUUCCCUCCACCCUGCUAAAUUAUUAAGUUUGAUGUCAUAAUACAAGGGACCAGCACUCUGC